rnacentral:rRNA from 1 species
CCUACGGGUGGCUGCAGUGGGGAAUAUUGGACAAUGGGCGAAAGCCUGAUCCAGCCAUGCCGCGUGUGUGAAGAAGGCCUUCGGGUUGUAAAGCACUUUCAGUGGGGAAGAAAGCCUUGGGGCUAAUACCCUCGAGGAAGGACAUCACCCACAGAAGAAGCACCGGCUAACUCCGUGCCAGCAGCCGCGGUAAUACGGAGGGUGCGAGCGUUAAUCGGAAUUACUGGGCGUAAAGCGCGCGUAGGCGGUCUGAUAAGCCGGUUGUGAAAGCCCGGGGCUCAACCUGGGAACGGCAUCCGGAACUGUCAGGCUAGAGUGCAGGAGAGGAAGGUAGAAUUCCCGGUGUAGCGGUGAAAUGCGUAGAGAUCGGGAGGAAUACCAGUGGCGAAGGCGGCCUUCUGGACUGACACUGACGCUGAGGUGCGAAAGCGUGGGUAGCAAACAGGAUUAGAUACCCCAGUAGUC